rnacentral:rRNA from 1 species
UACGAAGGGGGCUAGCGUUGCUCGGAAUCACUGGGCGUAAAGGGUGCGUAGGCGGCGCGGUAAGUCGGGUGUGAAAUCUCGGAGCUUAACUCCGAAACUGCAUUCGAUACUGCCGUGCUUGAGGACUGGAGAGGAGACUGGAAUUUACGGUGUAGCGGUGAAAUGCGUAGAUAUCGUAAGGAAGACCAGUGGCGAAGGCGGGUCUCUGGACAGUUCCUGACACUGAGACACGAAGGCCAGGGGAGCAAACGGG